UGGUCAUUUAGAGGAAGUAAAAGUCGUAACAAGGUUUCCGUAGGCGGAACACUGCAUCCUUUCGGGUACAUCUGCCGAAACCUUAGUGGAUUGAUUAGGCGACUCUAAACAAGUAUAAUCCUCGCGGCUCACCCCUCGAGCACUAGCCUUCCCCUCGUGGAUGGCGACAUUACCAGUAUGCGGGAACAUUCGACUCUGUUGGAUAACCCGCAGCCACGUUCGUGGCCCACAGGCUAAAUGGUAGUGGGCGUAGGUGCCGAGCCGCCUAUGCUUCAGAUAUAGUCGGUCCCCAGAUGCCUCUGGGAAACUUGUGUGGAUUACUGCACCCACGCAAGCGAGUCAACGUUCCGUAGGUGAACCUGCGGAAGGAUCAUU
rnacentral:rRNA from 1 species